ACGGGGGGAGCAAGCGUUGUUCGGAUUUACUGGGCGUAAAGGGCGCGUAGGCGGCCACUGCAAGUCAGUUGUGAAAUCUCCGGGCUUAGCCCGGAAAGGUCAACUGAUACUGCAGGGCUAGAGUGCAGAAGGGGCAACUGGAAUUCUCGGUGUAGCGGUGAAAUGCGUAGAUAUCGAGAGGAACACCUGCGGCGAAGGCGGGUUGCUGGGCUGACACUGACGCUGAUGUGCGAAAGCUAGGGGAGCGAACGGGA
rnacentral:rRNA from 1 species